CCUACGGGUGGCUGCAGUGAGGAAUAUUGGUCAAUGGACGAGAGUCUGAACCAGCCAAGUAGCGUGAAGGAUGACUGCCCUAUGGGUUGUAAACUUCUUUUAUAUGGGAAUAAAAUGUUCCACGUGUGGGAUUUUGUAUGUACCAUAUGAAUAAGGAUCGGCUAACUCCGUGCCAGCAGCCGCGGUAAUACGGAGGAUCCGAGCGUUAUCCGGAUUUAUUGGGUUUAAAGGGAGCGUAGGCGGGUUGUUAAGUCAGUUGUGAAAGUUUGCGGCUCAACCGUAAAAUUGCAAUUGAUACUGGCAGUCUUGAGUACAGUUGAGGUAGGCGGAAUUCGUGGUGUAGCGGUGAAAUGCUUAGAUAUCACGAAGAACCCCGAUUGCGAAGGCAGCUUACUAAACUGUGACUGACAUUGAUGCUCGAAAGUGUGGGUAUCAAAC
rnacentral:rRNA from 1 species